AACGAACGCUGGCGGCAGGCUUAACACAUGCAAGUCGAACGCACCGCAGGGUGAGUGGCAGACGGGUGAGUAACACGUGGGGAUCUGCCCAAUGGUACGGAAUAGCUCCGGAAAACUGGAAUUAAUACCGUAUGAGCCCGCAAGGGGAAAGAUUUAUCGCCAUUGGAUGAACCCGCGUCGGAUUAGCUAGUUGGUGUGGUAAAGGCGCACCAAGGCGACGAUCCGUAGCUGGUCUGAGAGGAUGAUCAGCCACACUGGGACUGAGACACGGCCCAGACUCCUACGGGAGGCAGCAGUGGGGAAUAUUGGACAAUGGGCGCAAGCCUGAUCCAGCCAUGCCGCGUGAGUGAUGAAGGCCUUAGGGUUGUAAAGCUCUUUCGCCGACGAAGAUAAUGACGGUACCUGGAGAAUAAGCUCCGGCUAACUCCGUGCCAGCCGCCGCAGUAAUAC
rnacentral:rRNA from 1 species